rnacentral:tRNA from 1 species
GUAACUUAGUGUAUGAAGCACAUAAAUUUUUGAUUUUUAAAGAAAAGUUUGAUUCUUUAAGUUACA